GUUGUGCAGAGGCUGUAAAUCAGUGAGUGGAGCAGUCAAAGCCAGUGGGCUGACGGUGGGGGGCCGUCUGCUGGCAGCAGCCCUCUCCUCCAAGUGUGUUUCUGCAAGAAAGCAGUAAUAGAAACACAAGAUGUGCUGAGAAACUCCAUCUGAGGCACAUGCCAUGUGAAUGACAAAGCCUUUUUCAGAAUAGCAGAACUGAUGGUCCUUCUGGAUUCCUCUGCAUUCAUCAGACGGUGACCUUCAUGUGGGGCAGGAACUGGAUCCAGAGUGUGGAGGCCUGAGCUGUCAGCUGAAUGACAUUGAAGUGACUCAUUCUGUUGGUCCUGGAUGUAGUCUGAGUAGUUCUCUGAGGGGACAAGAUGCUGAAGUGUAACACCAGUCAGAGCCCAGAUACUGAGCUGUUGACAGCCAAAAGGAAAGAGAAAUCUAGAUCUACCUGUGUGCUGAAGCUGGUAGGAACAUGACGCUCUGCUGCUGCUUAAUGAAGAGCUGAAGUUAUGGUCGUUCUCUGGAGAAGAUGUUUUAAAAACAAUAACAGCUGCACUGUGAUUCUCAUAGCUUUCACGGCAACAUCAGCAACUUUAAACAGAAUUCAAAAAUGAUUUAGAGUUUAAGACAAAGAAAUGAUGAAA